CCUGGCUCAGUGCAGCUUCCACCUCCUGGAUUCAAGUAAUUCUCCUGCCUCAGCCUCCCAAGUAGCUGGGAUUCUCCUGCCUCAGCCUCCUGAGUAGCUGGGUCUUGCUCUGUCGCGCAGGCUGAGUGCAGCGGUGCCAUCUUGUCUCAUUGCAACCUCUGGCUCCUAGGAUCAAAAGAUCCUCUUAUCUCAGCCCCCCAAGUAGCGGGGACUACAGGCACAUGCCACCACACCCCACUAAUUUGUGUGUAUUUUCUAGAGAUGGGGUUUAGCCAUGUUGCCCAAACUGGUCUGGAACUCCUGAGCUCAAGCAAUCCACCCUCCUUGGACUCCCGAAGUGCGGGAUUAAACGCAUGAGCCACAAAGCCUGGCCCUGUA
rnacentral:lncRNA from 1 species